GCACAAGCAGUGGAGUAUGUGGUUUAAUUCGAAGCAACGCGAAGAACCUUUACCAGGGCUUGACAUCCCUUGAAGCAGCUAGAGAUAGCUGUGUCCUUCGGGACAAGGAGACAGGUGGUGCAUGGUUGUCGUCAGCUCGUGUCGUGAGAUGUUGGGUUAAGUCCCGCAACGAGCGCAACCCCUGUGGUUAGUUGCCAGCAAGUAGCGUUGGGCACUCUAGCCAGACUGCCGGUGAUAAAUCGGAGGAAGGUGGGGACGACGUCAAAUCAUCAUGCCCUUUAUGUCCUGGGCUACACACGUACUACAAUGGCCGUUACAACGGGAAGCGAAGGAGCAAUCCGGAGCAAAUCCCUUAAAGGCGGUCCCAGUUCAGAUUGUGGGCUGAAACUCGCCCACAUGAAGGCGGAAUUGCUAGUAAUUGCAGAUCAGCAUGCUGCAGUGAAUACGUUCCCGGGCCUU
rnacentral:rRNA from 1 species